AAACCCCUACAAUUUCCCCCUAAAAUCGGUAUCCUCAAAACAUCUAAUUCUUACUGAGCAACCCCUAAAAUCACGCCUUCUUUGGGUUGUUUUUUUCUUUGGUUUUUCCUCAGAUUUCUCUCCCAUUUCUUAAAUUUCAUCCCCUCCUCCUCCUCCUCCUCCUUCUUCUUCUUCUUCUUUUUAUAUCUUUCUUUCCUUCUUGUUUAUAUAUGGAGAGCUGAAGCCAGUUCUGGGUUUGCCUUAAACCACAAUAAAAAUGGCUUCUUCACUCUCUUUUCCAUGCCCCAUCUUUUUUUUUUUUUGAAAACAAACCAGCAAACCCAAACUCACAAGGGUUUUUUGUCUCUUCCUCCAACUUCAAAUUUCAACUCCAAAUAUUGCAGGCGUUUGAAGAGUUAUCGCAGUGUGGAACCAAGGAUGAAGGGCUUCCGUUGGAUAAAUUCUGUGAUGCUUGUUCUUUGGUUUCUGUUCUUUUUAACUCCCUUGGUGUCGCCUUCAAAUUCGCGGAGAUGGAGUACGUCGCCAAGGUAGGUAAUCUUGUGGAAGCAUCAAAGAGGUUUGCCACUUUAGGAAAUAUAGUUGAUGCAGAUGUAGGUAAUGGGACAGUGAAAAAACAGAGAAGCCCUUCGCCUGAUCUGCAUCGUGUUAGACAGGGUCUUGACCUCGUACGAGCUUUAUUUGAACAAUUUUUGUCAUCCAAUAUGGGAAAGAAGGGAAGUUGGUUUUCUGCAAUUAAAAAAAUUUUCUUUCCACACUCCAAGGAAAAGCUAAAUAAUGUCCAAUCUACAUCUGAUGGAACUGAUUCCACUCUUUCAAACCCCCUGUGCGAGGAGUCUGCUCAAAAUUCUUCAAAAUACUCUAACAGACAGAGCAUACAUCCACCACCUGCCUUUGGCUCAUCGCCUAAUCUUGAAGCCCUUGCACUUGAAGCAAAUAAGUCUAAGGAUCAAGAUGGAGAUAGUUCUUUACUUGACAGUUCACAUCUUUCCCGGCCCAUGCAUGAAGUUACAUUUUCAACAGAAGACAAACCAAAACUUCUUAGUCAGGAAUAUGAUAGGGAGCAGUACUCGAAAUACUUGUUCUUCAUAAGCUUAUUUCUUAAACAAAAUAACUUAUAUUUUGUAGUAAUUGAUUGUGAGGUAGCUUUAUAGGUAUCUGAGUCUUUUUAUACUAACUAUUUAUUGCAAUUGGUUCCAAAUAUUUGGUGAAUUCAAUUAUUAAUUUGCACUGCUAGUUUCGUGGUGUCAUAUGCCUUUUGUGUUAGAAUUUGAAUUGUUCCCCCUAAACAAUUUUCUCUAUGUACAGGUUUGAUUGUGGCAUGUUUAUGUUAAAAUAUAUCAACUUCUAUAGCAGAGGCUUAAGUCUUUGUUUUGAGCAGGAACACAUGCCCUAUGCCUUAUUUUCGUUUAAGGACCGCUAAGGAAAUUCUAAAACUGAAAGCUGAUUGAUCGGAUGUGUAUGCCGGCUUUCAUCAACUACUUUCGAAGGCCUUACUAGGAAUUGAAAUGGUGUGCAGGGAUUCAAAUAGCGGGCCGAUAUCAGAAUAGCGGCCGUUAUAUAGCGGUAGCGGCACCGUCCGAAACCGCUUUUGCUAAAAAUAGCGGUGUGAAGCGGAGUCACGCCAAUAGCGGUGGGUCGCGGCCGCAACUUAACGGGUAACGGCCAAUUGCGGCAAUAACGGGCCGCUAUUCUCGUUAUUUUCCGUUACAGUAAAUUAAAAAAAAGUCAUCCCCUCAAACAAAAAUCGACAGAAACAGUGAAAAACAAAAGGGAAUAUAUUCCCCUACCUGCAAAGUGCAAAAUCAGAGAGCUUUCAAUAAAAAAAAAAGUAAAAAGAAGUCAAAGAAACAAAAAAAGUAAUCAAAACUCAAAAGCAAUAGAAAAAGAAAUAUGAAAUUCUGUUUCUUAUAUAUGGGCAAACAACAAGCAGCAGAUGAAAGCAAGGAGCCGAGCCGACUGUCGAGGACUUGAAUCUGAAAAGCAAGCCCAUCUAUUUCCUCUUCGAAGUACUUCUAGGUUUCUUCCAGUUCUUUCUCAGCCCUUCUAAGUUCUAAGCCAGUAUUCCUUUACCUGGUUUUUCACACUUUCAAGUUUCAACAGCAGUAGAGAUUCGGCCAUUUUUGUUGAUAGUCUGAUGAGUUGGAGGCUUGGAGCCUUGGAGGCUACUGGUUAGGGUUAGGGAAUGGAAAGAAUCGUUUCAUUUUCUUUUAAUUUUUCUGUUUUUGUUUUGGUUUGUGGCUUUAUUGGCAAUUGGCAUGUUGCUCUGUUUUGUUUCUUCUUUGACUCUUGUUUUACUCAUUAAUUAGGGGCAGCCACCGUCCAUUUUAACCACUAGAAAAUAGGCAUGUAAAUUGUGCUUUUAUCCACCUGUCCAUUGUUAAAAAUUGUUUUAAAAUAAUUAUUUGAAAAUUUCUUUAUUAAAUUUAAAAAUAUAUAUAUAAA